rnacentral:lncRNA from 1 species
AGCUGCUGGCCUUUAUGAGAUUUUGGAAUAGAGAGAUCUUCGACUGUUUUGCUAUUUUGAUAGCUGUGAAAUUAUUAUUAGACUGUCAUUUUGACAAGAUAAUUUGGCACCAGACAUCAUUUCAGGAAGAUAAUUUAGUACCGAAUGAUUUAAUUCUGACUAGUAGAUCUUGACCAUAUGUCCGAACAUCAUUAUGCCGGAGCUGUUCACAUGG